rnacentral:tRNA from 1 species
GGGGGUGUAGCUCAAGUGGUAGAGCGCAUGCUUAGCAUGCACAAGGUCCUGGGUUCAAUCCCCAGUCCCUCCU